AGCUUUGCGCAGUGGCAGUAUCGUAGCCAAUGAGGUUUAUCCGAGGCGCGAUUAUUGCUAAUUGUAAUGACUCACCUAAAAACU
rnacentral:snRNA from 1 species